UACGAAGGGUGCGAGCGUUAAUCGGAAUUACUGGGCGUAAAGCGCGCGUAGGUGGUUUGGUAAGCGAUAUGUGAAAUCUCCGGGCUUAACUCGGAAAGGUCAGCCGAUACUGCGGGGCUAGAGUGCAGAAGGGGCAACUGGAAUUCUCGGUGUAGCGGUGAAAUGCGUAGAUAUCGAGAGGAACACCUGCGGCGAAGGCGGGUUGCUGGGCUGACACUGACGCUGAGGCGCGAAAGCUAGGGGAGCGAACGGG
rnacentral:rRNA from 1 species